UCAUGGAAGCGGUCUCGCCCCUGCUGUUCUCGUGACAGUGAGUUAUCGCGAGAUCUGAUGGUUUCGUAAGUGUUCGGUAGUUCCUCCUGCGUUCAUUUUCCUUCCUCCCAUCUUGUGAAGAAGGUGCUUUGCUUUCUCCUCACCUUGUGUCGUGAUUGUAAGUUUCCUGAAGCCCUUCCUGCCAUGCUGAACUAGUCUUUGUAAAAGUGACGUGAAGAGAUUUUCAUGUUGGAAAGAUGACUAACUGCAUCGUAGAAUUAAUGUGAAAGGGUGGCCCAAGGAAGCAAGUUUCUUCACAGCUAUUGCAAUAAACAGGGUCUACUGGAGACCUUGGCUUUUUAUUUCCCUGACACAACUUCACACUGCUGGAGCAAUGCUUGGAUUGCUCUGGAAACACUGGCAAAUCUCAAGAUGCAGUUCAGGCUUCUCCAUGAUGAGUGUGAGUCCCUAGGCUGUCUCUCAAACUAAAGAUUCCCCAGCCAGGCAACUCUAAAGAGUCUUCGACAAGGCAACACAAUUACUCUGUGUGCUUAGAAGAAGAGGGGUCAUAAAUGUCAGCUGUUGCUCUUUGAGUCCUGCUAAUUCAUUCAUUGAUUCACUCAUCUUUCCCACAGGCAUGUGCUGUGCGUUUACUGUACUGCAUGACACUGUGGAGGUUAUAAAGAAAUAAAAUAUUUGGGGCUUACUCUCUAUGAAAUAAAAUUCUAAUUCUUUCUACCAUAUAUUCUUAUGUGAGAUCCCAGCCUGCUCUACCUGGUGCCUGCUCUACCUGUUACCUGGACUAGGGCAUUUCUGUAUCAGAUUAAAUUUAAAGGUGUUUCAAUAGUUAAUAAUGAUCAAACGUUAUAAAUAUUGGGAAACUAUAAUGGAUGAGGUGAAAAAGAAAAGGCCACUAAGUAGAAAAUUAGAUAAAAUAGACAUAUAUAAAAUUAAGUCAUGUGUUAUGGGCUAAACUGUGUCCCCCACAAAAUUCAUGUUGGGGUCAGUACCUCAGAAUGUGUCUGUAUUUGGAGACAGGGCCUUUAUAGAAAUAAUUAAAUUAAAAUGAGGUCACUAGGGUCAGCUCUAAUCCAACAAGAUGGGCAUCCUGAUAGGAAGAGGGAAUUUGGAUACAGAGGGAAGAUUAUAUAAAGACACGGGGAGAGGAUGACCAUCUACAAGACCAAGAGAGAGGCCUGUCCGUAAGAAACCAACCCUCAAGGAGAGAGGCCUUUCUGUAAGAAACCAACCCUGCCAGCACCCAGCUUUUGGAGCUCUAGUCUCCAGAAAUGUGAAAUAAAUUUCUUUUGUU
rnacentral:lncRNA from 10 species